CCAGACUCCUACGGGAGGCAGCAGUGGGGGAUAUUGCACAAUGGGGGAAACCCUGAUGCAGCGACGCCGCGUGGGCGAAGAAGUAUUUCGGUAUGUAAAGCCCUAUCAGCAGGGAAGAAGAAAUGACGGUACCUGAGUAAGAAGCACCGGCUAAAUACGUGCCAGCAGCCGCGGUAAUACGUAUGGUGCAAGCGUUAUCCGGAUUUACUGGGUGUAAAGGGAGCGCAGGCGGCACGGCAAGCCUGAUGUGAAAGCCCGCGGCCCAACCGCGGGACUGCAUUGGGAACUACCGGGCUGGAGUGCCGGAGAGGUAGGCGGAAUUCCUAGUGUAGCGGUGAAAUGCGUAGAUAUUAGGAGGAACACCAGUGGCGAAGGCGGCCUACUGGACGGUGACUGACGCUGAGGCUCGAAAGCGUGGGGAGCAAACAGGAUUAGAUACCCCAGUA
rnacentral:rRNA from 1 species